AGCGGCCAUAUCAGGUCGAAACGCCGAUUCACGUGUGAUUAUCGAAGUUAAGCAGCGUCGAGCCCUGUCAGUAUCCAGAUGGAUGACCGCUUCGGAAUACCAGCUGCUGUAAG